GGUGGUGGUUGGAAAAUUGUAGAUUAAAUCUUAUUUCAUUACAGAAAGUAGAAGUUAGCUUGAUUGCAGUGCUGUAAGAAUUUCCUAGGGGAAAUUAAAUUUGAUAAUCUCAAGGUGUUUUCCAGAAGAUGCCAUGCAUUCAGUAAUGUUCAUUAUAGUUUGCAGAAUACCAGAUAGAAUUUAAAGUGAAGACUCCCACGGUUUAAUCAAUAUAGACAUUCUAAAUUGUUCACGGUAUAAAGACCUGAUUAUGAAACAAAGAUGCAGUUAAAAGGGAAGCCACAGUACUUUGGGUGGAUUUUUCUUCCUAUAUAAACUGGUUGGUUCAUAGCUAAGGUGAAUAUUGACUGCCAGAUCUCCAAAACAAUUCUUGAAGCAGUAACAGAAAGUGCAUUGUGCCUGUUUUCACUGAAUGAUUCUUACAGCCAGGGUACCAAAUAUUUUGGAGAUUACUUGCUACAAGAUUUGAAACCUACACAUCAGCAACAUAAAUCAUUAAGUUAAGGCAAACAAUUACAAAACAGAUUUGAAAUGAUUUCUUUGGAAGAUCAUGAAGAGUAUGAAGAUUUCGAUUAAUAUAUAUAUGUAUAUAUGUAUACCUAUACAUCAGCUGUCUGGUACCUGUCCACAUUUUAAGCAAUAAAUAAAAGAAUAUACAACAUAAACUGAAUUUGGUGUUUGUUAUCAUCUGGCAAGCGCUAAAGGACUGAGAUGACACAUCAGCAGUUCAAAGCACAAAGAAAACGAAUCUUCAGUUUCGAGUAAAUGAAUUUGCAGCAUCUGUGGUAUCUUUAGAUAAAAGAAGUUGCCAAAUUGCUAAUUGCAAAUAUAAUCUGGAGUAGCAGGUUUCAGUGCUGGUAAGGAAAAGCUGCCUAAACAAAUGACUUCAGCUAAAGCCAAAGAAGACACUGCCCCUCUCAAAUGCUUGGACAAAGAUCAAGGAGGGUGGGGGGUAGGACUAAGAGAAGGACCUGAAAUUU